CAGUCCUCACUCUUCAUAGUCACUGGGGCCUUGGACAAGUUGUCACUGACUAUGUUCAUGGGGAUGCAUCGCAGAAAGCUGCCAAGGCAGGCCUUUUGGCACUCUCAGCUUUAACCUUUGCUGGUCUUUGUUUUUUCAACUAUCAUGACGUGGGCAUCUGCAAAGCUGUUGCCAUGCUGUGGAAGCUUUGACCUUUUUGUCUUGAGAAUUGAUUGUAUGCCUCUGCCUCUGUUCUGUCAUUUAACUCACAAUAAGGAGGAAAUAACAGAAAGUUUAUUGGUGGACAAACCUUCUUCUAAUUACAUGAUUAUUUUAGAAUUUAAUUGUUGAGGAAGAGGUUUGAGAGGAAAUGUAUUCAAGAAAUUAUGAGACCCAGUUCUGCAUUCUGGUGAGUUAAUGGGGUUGUCUUCAAGUUCAUGAGACAGUAUGACUAAACUUUACAUAUGAGCUUUUGCUUUUGUCAGUCUCUUAAAGAGAAUUUAGCUUUAUUAUUAUCAGUAUAUGAUCAUUUCUGCAUUUGUCUUGGAAAUAAUGGACAAAGGGAAAGACUGUUAAUUCAUGACUUUGCAAAAAAUUAGAUAGUGUUUACUUUUGGAAACUUCCCUGUCUGUUUAGUUGAUACCAGCUACUGAUGGUUUUAUGUCCUAGGGAAACUUUAAAAUUAGGAGAUGCUAAAAUCUCAAAUUACAGAUUUCUAUAUCCUAGGAAGGAAAGAUUGGAGAGCUUCUGAAUUUAGAGAUGCUCAAGUUAGAGAAAGAAGUCUUCCUUGUAGACAUAUCAGAAUAUUAAAAAUUC
rnacentral:lncRNA from 1 species